ACCUACAAGCGGUGGAUCACUCGAAUUA
rnacentral:rRNA from 2 species